rnacentral:rRNA from 1 species
ACGGAGAAUAAGGGUUCGACUCCGGAGAGGGAGCCUGAGAAACGGCUACCACAUCCAAGGAAGGCAGCAGGCGCGCAAAUUACCCACUCUCGGCACGAGGAGGUAGUGACGAAAAAUAACGAGACGGAUCUCUUUGAGGCCCGUUAUCGGAAUGAGAACAAUUCAAAUCCUUUAACGAGGAUCUAGCGGAGGGCAAGUCUGGUGCCAGCAGCCGCGGUAAUUCCAGCUCCGCAGGUGUAUAUCUAUGCUGCUGCGGUUAAAAAGCUCGUAGUUGGAUCUGCGUGCUCGGAACUGGUUGGCUCACUGAGUUCAAACUGGUCUCCGGCGCUUUAUUGGCUGGUUUUCCCUUGAUGCUCUUAACCGGGUGUCUUGGGUGGCUAGCACGUUUACUUUGAAAAAAUUAGAGUGCUCAAUACAGGCGUAAAGCCUUGAAUAGUGGUGCAUGGAAUAAUAGAAUAGGACCUCGGCUCUAUUUUGUUGGUUUUCGGAACGCGAGGUAAUGAUUAAGAGGGACAGACGGGGGCACUCGUAUUGCGACGUUAGAGGUGAAAUUCUUGGAUCGUCGCAAGACGGACGACUGCGAAAGCAUUUGCCAAGAAUGUUUUCAUUAAUCAAGAACGAAAGUUAGAGGUUCGAAGGCGAUCAGAUACCGCCCUAGUUCUAACCGUAAACGAUGCCAACUAGCGAUUCGCAGGCGUUAAACAACGACCUUGCGGGCAGCUUCCCGGAAACGAGAGUGUUCGGGUUCCGGGGGGAGUAUGGUUGCAAAGCUGAAACUUAAAGGAAUUGACGGAAGGGCACCACCAGGGGUGGAGCCUGCGGCUUAAUUUGACCCAACACGGGAAAACUCACCCGGCCCGGACACCGUAAGGAUUGACAGAUUGAGAGCUCUUUCUUGAUUCGGUGGGUGGUGGUGCAUGGCCGUUCUUAGUUGGUGGAGCGAUUUGUCUGGUUUAUUCCGAUAACGAACGAGACUCUGGCCUACUAAAUAGUGGGCGGAUUCUUUCUGUCCGCAACACUUCUUAGAGGGACAAGCGGUGUUCAGCCGCACGAGAUUGAGCAAUAACAGGUCUGUGAUGCCCUUAGAUGUCCGGGGCUGCACGCGCGCUACACUGAAGGAAUCAGCGUGCUUUCUGACCUUGCCCGAAAGGGCUGGGUAACCCGAUGAAAAUCCUUCGUGAUUGGGAUAGGGACUUGCAAUUAUUUCCCUUGAACGAGGAAUUCCCAGUAAGUGUGGGUCAUAAGCUCGCGUUGAUUACGUCCCUGCCCUUUGUACACACCGCCCGUCGCUGCCCGGAACUGAGCCGUUUCGAGAAGAACAGGGACCGUCGUUGAAGGGCCUUAACGGGCUUUUCUCUGAUAGAAACUGUUUUAAUCGCAGUGGCUUGAACCGGGCAAAAGUCGUAACAAGGUU